rnacentral:rRNA from 1 species
UACGAAGGGGGCUAGCGUUGCUCGGAAUGACUGGGCGUAAAGGGCGCGUAGGCGGACUGUCCAGUCAGGCGUGAAAUUCCUGGGCUUAACCUGGGGGCUGCGCUUGAGACGUAGGGUCUAGAGUUCGGAAGAGGGUCGUGGAAUUCCCAGUGUAGAGGUGAAAUUCGUAGAUAUUGGGAAGAACACCGGUGGCGAAGGCGGCGACCUGGUCCUGGACUGACGCUGAGGCGCGAAAGCGUGGGGAGCAAACAGG